rnacentral:piRNA from 1 species
UCUUGAAAACAUGUCGAUUUA